UACGAAGGGUGCAAGCGUUACUCGGAAUUACUGGGCGUAAAGCGUGCGUAGGCGGUUUGUUAAGUCUGUCGUGAAAGCCCCGGGCUCAACCUGGGAAUGGCGAUGGAAACUGGCGAGCUAGAGUACGGUAGAGGAGAGUGGAAUUCCUGGUGUAGCGGUGAAAUGCGCAGAUAUCAGGAGGAACACCGAUUGCGAAGGCAGCUCGCUGGGACGUAACUGACGCUGAGACGCGAAAGCGUGGGGAGCAAACAGG
rnacentral:rRNA from 1 species